rnacentral:tRNA from 1 species
GGCUCAUUGGUCUAGGGGUAUGAUUCUCGCUUCGGGUUGUGAGAGGUCCCGGGUUCAAAUCCCGGACGAGCCC